AGGACGAACGCUGGCGGCGUGCUUAACACAUGCAAGUCGAGCGGAAAGGCCCUUCGGGGUACUCGAGCGGCGAACGGGUGAGUAACACGUGAGCAACCUGCCCUUAGCUCUGGGAUAGCUCCGGGAAACCGGAAUUAAUACCGGAUACGACCUAGGCCGACAUCGGCCAUGGUGGAAAGUUUUUCGGCUAGGGAUGGACUCGCGGCCUAUCAGCUAGUUGGUGGGGUAAAGGCCUACCGAAGGCGACGACGGGUAG
rnacentral:rRNA from 1 species